GUCUACGGCCAUGCCACCCUCAACAAGCCUGAUGUCUGAUCUCAGAAGCUAAGCAGGGUCAGGCCUGGUUAGUACUUGGAUGGGAGACCACCUAGAAAGACCAGGUGCUGUAGGCA
rnacentral:rRNA from 1 species